rnacentral:rRNA from 1 species
GUACCACGGGACACGUGAAACCCUGUGGGAAGCAGGAGGGACCACCCUCCAAGGCUAAAUACUACCUAGUGACCGAUAGCGUAUAGUACCGUGAGGGAAAGGUGAAAAGAACCCCGGGAGGGGAGUGAAAUAGAACCUGAAACCCUGCACUUACAAGCUGUGGAAGCACAUUUCUUGUGUGACCGCGUACUUUUUGUAGAACGGGCCAACGAGUUACGUUAAGUAGCAAGGUUAAGCACUUAAGGUGCGGAGCCGUAGCGAAAGCGAGUUUUAACUGAGCGUUCAGUUACUUGACGUAGACCCGAAACCGGGCGACCUACCCAUGAGCAGGAUGAAGCGAAAGUAAAAUUUCGUGGAGGUCCGAACCCACGAGCGUUGAAAAGCUCGGGGAUGACUUGUGGGUAGCGGUGAAAUUCCAAUCGAGCCCGGAGAUAGCUGGUUCUCCCCGAAAUAGCUUUAGGGCUAGCCUCAAGGUGAGAGAUACGGAGGUAGAGCACUGAAUGUCCUAGGGGGUAUUGCACCUACCGAAGACUAUCAAACUCCGAAUGCCGUCAUCUUAUACUUGGGAGUCAGACUGUGGGUGAUAAGAUUCAUAGUCGAAAGGGCAACAGCCCAGAUCGUCAGCUAAGGUCCCUAAAUGUAAGUUAAGUGGUAAAGGAUGUGGGAUUGCACAGACAACCAGGAUGUUGGCUUAGAAGCAGCCACUCAUUCAAAGAGUGCGUAAUAGCUCACUGGUCGAGUGAUCCUGCGCCGAAGAUUUCCGGGGCUAAAACUUACUACCGAAGCUACGGCAUCAGUAAUGAUGGGUAGGGGAGCUUCCCAUACGGGUUGAAGCAUGACCGUAAGGACAUGUGGACAGUAUGGGAGUGAGAAUGUUGGCAUGAGUAGCGAGAUGUGGGUGAGAAUCCCACAGGCCGUAAACCCAAGGUUUCCAGGGGAAGGUUCGUCCGCCCUGGGUUAGUCGGGACCUAAGCUGAGGCCGAAAGGCGUAGGUGAUGGACAACAGGUUGAUAUUCCUGUAC